rnacentral:rRNA from 1 species
GACGAACGCUGGCGGCGUGCUUAACACAUGCAAGUCGAACGGAAAGGCCCUGCUUUUGUGGGGUGCUCGAGUGGCGAACGGGUGAGUAACACGUGAGUAACCUGCCCUUGACUUUGGGAUAACUUCAGGAAACUGGGGCUAAUACCGGAUAGGAGCUCCUGCUGCAUGGUGGGGGUUGGAACGUUUCGGCGGUUGGGGAUGGACUCGCGGCUUAUCAGCUUGUUGGUGGGGUAGUGGCUUACCAAGGCUUUGACGGGUAGCCGGCCUGAGAGGGUGACCGGCCACAUUGGGACUGAGAUACGGCCCAGACUCCUACGGGAGGCAGCAGUGGGGAAUAUUGCACAAUGGGCGGAAGCCUGAUGCAGCAACACCGCGUGCGGGAUGACGGCCUUCGGGUUGUAAACCGCUUUCGCCUGUGACGAAGCGUGAGUGACGGUAAUGGGUAAAGAAGCACCGGCUAACUACGUG